rnacentral:rRNA from 1 species
GGCCGCAGUAUUUUAACUGUGCAAAGGUAGCAUAAUCAUUAGUCUUUUAAUUGAAGGCUGGUAUGAAUGGUUGGACGAAAUAUAAACUGUUUCAUAAUAAUUUAUAAUAAAAUUUUAUUUUUUAGUUAAAAAGCUAAAAUUGAUUUAAAAGACGAGAAGACCCUAUAAAUCUUUAUAUUUAAUAUUAUUAUUAAUUUUUAGAAAUUUUUAUUUAUAAUAAUUUUAAAUAUUUUGUUGGGGUGAUAUUAAAAUUUAAUUAACUUUUAAUUAUAUAUACACACAUUAAUUUAUGAAUAAAUGAUCCAUUAUUAAUGAUUAAAAAUUUAAGUUACUUUAGGGAUAACAGCGUAAUUUUUUUGGAGAGUUCUUAUUGAUAAAAAAGAUUGCGACCUCGAUGUUGGAUU